rnacentral:lncRNA from 1 species
UUUGGUUGAUUAUAUAGGGAAUCACUGAAGCGUGACAGUAUUGGGCCCCCUCUUAGGCAGCCAGUGGGCCCCCUCUUAGGCAGCCAAUGGGCCCCCACUUAUGUAAAUUUAUAGAUUCACCACUGUUCUUGUUUGUCAAUGUCUAAAAACUAGUAGGAUUACUUUGCACUGUAAUGUUUGCUACUCCUUGCUUUUUAUGGUUUUAUUUACAAUUUGUUAUAUUAAGGUAAAAGACAUAAAUAUUUUAUUUAGGGGUAAAGAUUGAAAUUUAACAAUUUUUUAAUUAUAUUUUUUCUAACUUGAGUUUGAUGUGGCCAUAUAUUAUGAAAAUUUAUUACAUGUAUUAUGAAACAAUUUGUUGUGG